GACGAACGCUGGCGGCGUGCUUAACACAUGCAAGUCGAACGGAAAGGCCCUGCUUUUGUGGGGUGCUCGAGUGGCGAACGGGUGAGUAACACGUGAGUAACCUGCCCUUGACUUUGGGAUAACUUCAGGAAACUGGGGCUAAUACCGGAUAGGAGCUCCUGCUGCAUGGUGGGGGUUGGAUAGUUUCGGCGGUUGGGGAUGGACUCGCGGCUUAUCAGCUUGUUGGUGGGGUAGUGGCUUACCAAGGCUUUGACGGGUAGCCGGCCUGAGAGGGUGACCGGCCACAUUGGUACUACGAUACGGCCCAGACUCCUACGGGAGGCAGCAGUGGGGAGUAUGGCACAAUGGGCGGAAGCCUGAUGCGGCGACGCCGCGUGCGGGAUGACGGCCUUCUGGUUGUAAACCGCUUUCGCCUGUGACGAAGCGUGAGUGACGGUAAUGGGUAAAGAAGCACCGGCUAACUACGUG
rnacentral:rRNA from 1 species